GUGGGGAAUAUUGGACAAUGGGGGGAACCCUGAUCCAGCCAUGCCGCGUGUGUGAAGAAGGCCUUUUGGUUGUAAAGCACUUUAAGCGAGGAGGAGGCUACCGAGAUUAAUACUCUUGGAUAGUGGACGUUACUCGCAGAAUAAGCACCGGCUAACUCUGUGCCAGCAGCCGCGGUAAUACAGAGGGUGCAAGCGUUAAUCGGAUUUACUGGGCGUACAGCGCGCGUAGGUGGCCAAUUAAGUCAAAUGUGAAAUCCCCGAGCUUAACUUGGGAAUUGCAUUCGAUACUGGUUGGCUAGAGUAUGGGAGAGGAUGGUAGAAUUCCAGGUGUAGCGGUGAAAUGCGUAGAGAUCUGGAGGAAUACCGAUGGCGAAGGCAGCCAUCUGGCCUAAUACUGACACUGAGGUGCGAAAGCAUGGGGAGCAAACAGGAUUAGAAACCCUAGUAGUCC
rnacentral:rRNA from 1 species